rnacentral:rRNA from 1 species
CCUACGGGAGGCAGCAGUAGGGAAUCUUCCACAAUGGGCGCAAGCCUGAUGGAGCAACACCGCGUGAGUGAAGAAGGGUUUCGGCUCGGAAAGCUCUGUUUUUGGAGAAGAAAGUGCGUGAGAGUAACUGUGCACGCAGUGACGGUAUCAAACCAGAAAGUCAAGGCUAACUACGGGCCAGCCGCCGCGGUAAUACGUAGGUGGCAAGCGUUAUCCGGAUUUAAUGGGCGGAAAGCGAGCGCAGGCGGUUGCUUAGGUCUGAUGUGAAAGCCUUCGGCUGAACCGAAGAAGCGCAGCGGAAACCGGGGGACUUGAGUGCAGAAGAGGACAGUGGAACUCCAUGUGGAGCGGUGGAAUGCGUAGAUAUCUGGAAGAACACCAGUGGCGAAGGCGGCUGUCUGGUCUGCAACUGACGCUGAGGCUCGAAAGCAUGGGUAGCGAACAGGAUUAGAUACCCUGGUAGUC